rnacentral:rRNA from 1 species
CAGUAGCCGCGGUAAUACAGAGGAUGCAAGCGUUAUCCGGAAUGAUUGGGCAUAAAGUGUCUGUAGGUGGCUUUUCAAGUCCGCCGUCAAAUCCCAGGGCUCAACCGAGGACAGGCGGUGGAAACUACCAAGCUGGAGUAUGGUAGGGGCAGAGGGAAUUUCCGGUGGAGCGGUGAAAUGCGUUGAGAUCGGAAAGAACACCAACAGCGAAAUCACUCUGCUAGGCCGACACUGACACUGAGAGACGAAAUCUAGGGGAGCAAAUGGGAUUAGAGACCCGCGUAGUCCCUGUCUCUUAUAC